ensembl:lncRNA
AUGUUCUUUGUGACCACGACAAGUCACUCUGCAUCGUAUUCGCACCACUUACAGCAACUGGAAGAGAUGCACGUUCAGGCAAGAGAGAUCUACAACCAAUUUGUGUCAAUCCAAUUCUCACUGGCUGUAACAGGCGAUGAUUUAGGCCUCGGUCUUUGCUUCUGUGGCUGCCGGCAAAUACACAUGCUGGCUACCAAAAAUGCAAGAAACUACAUGAGGUGGUCAGAUCAAAGCUGUCUUGUGUGCUGACAGGGCUUGGCAGUGGGGGCUAAAGGAGGACAAUAAAGCCCAGGACACUGAAGCGCACCCAGCACUAAGUAAGGUGAGCUAUGUAUCAACAGUCGCUUUCCUGCACAGGCCAGCACAGAACUGGUGUCUGGCAGCAUGCGAGAUGUGCCACUGCCCCCAGGAAGCCUGCUUUGGUCUCCCUUGCACAACAUGUUGGUUGGUGGUAGCCUACAGCCAGCUGAGCACCUAUCUGAAACAGCAGAGAACUGCUGGGGUAAUCUCCAAGAGUGCACACAAUCUUUGGAUGGGAUUUUGGAGCCCGUGUCCUGUACAGCGGGACUGCAUUGCUUGUGGUGAACUGGGGACUUGAGUAUCCUCAGGGGGCAGAGUUCAGCCCUUGUGUUUUUUUUGCUAGGUUUAUGCAGGCAGCCCUCCUCACAUGGGAGUGGACGUGUACUGGCACAGGAAUGCAGUUUUGAGCAGUGCAUCCUAGGAUAAAUCAAGUUACCUACUUUUUUGGGGGUGGGUUGGGGCAUGUGAACUAGAGUUGCAUUAGGUUUUCCUAACAGAAUUGCUGUGUUACUCAUACACAUGCUAGAGAUAAAUAAUAAUAAAAAAAAAAAAGGUUUAGAGAACUGUCAUCAAUACCAAAUACCCCUUGUCAUUAUGACUCUGAAGUCAAGCAUUUAAGUUUGCUGAUUUGAAAGGUAUAAAAAGAUAACUCUUGAGCAGCUCAUUCCUCUGGAUAUGCACUAAUUAUCCUACCACACAGAGGAUGUUCAAGAACGUGUGUGAUGGCAGGGCAUCAAGGAAAAUCUAAGCACAUAUGCCUUUGCUUUACAGCCUCUUCACAAAGCUGCCUCGCUUCUCUCUUAUCACUCUCCAGAUUCAAUUGCACUGCACCUUCUGCUCUGCCUUAUCAAUAAAGGGCUGUCAUCACACAUCGCUGUCAAAGCAAAAGAGCAAACUGUUGUCAGCAGAUAUGCAUACAGCAACCCACUUAGCUAAAAUGACAUUCCCAGGCAGUCCUUGAUAACCAAUCCUUAGAGGAAAUUGCAGGAAUCAGUUGUUAUAUGCUUGAUAGAUAAACAGGAAUAGAUAUAAACAACAAAUUAAUAAAGCACUAUUAAAAAUUUCCUGUAGCUAUUUCAACACCUCUAUUCUGUGGGAGAGAAUGAGGAGUAAACCUAUUUUUAACAAAAACUGAUUAUUUUUAUUUAGCAAAUUAUAGUUGAUGUUUAGAUGCAGUGAUUGUGCUGUUUUACAUGAAAUGUUACUUCAAGUCGUUGCUCAAAAUAACAGAUAGCUGCAAGAAAGUUUAGGCUUGUAUCAGUGAAACUGCUCAAUGCACAUGGAACUUUGUCCAUUUUGCUUUUUAAACAGCCGAUUGAGCUUUUUUUCUUUUUUUCUCCCCACUGCUGUUUAUAGGAAAUGUGCUGCUUGCUGCUUGUCCCACUUUGUCACAUUCCAGUGGCUACCCUGCACGUUACAUUCCUGACCAUGAAUCGACACAGUAGCCACCCAAUUACAUUUCAUUCUUCCACUGUUUAUAAAAAGUUAUAAAAACAUUGGCAACUGAGAGUUAUCCCUAUAAAAAUGAUAUUCCUGUAUUUGAUUGAUGCAUAUACCUCAAGCUAAAUGUUUGCACUGUGCCCAAAUCCAUCCAUUCAUCAUGUGGCAGUGCAGCCUUCUCCUUUAAUACUGUACCUCUUUCAUCCAAUCAGGGAAAAUUAAGAUGAUAUGCAUACAUAUUUUUAAGUAGCUACAAAUACUGAUGUUUUCUAAGGAAUUAGUCUGCUAAAUUCUGUCAUUUAGUCAUAGAGUUCACUGAAACUUUUGCUACUGUUUGCCAUAACAGCGGGAUUAAAUCUCAGUUCCAAUCCUACAACCAUUAUUUAGACCAUUCUUUUCAGGAAAAAAAAUCCUUCAAGCACGGUCUGCAGGCAUUAACUCCUAUAAAGACUUUUCUUUAUUUUCAAUAAAGAUCUGUGGCUUAUUAUGUUCUGAAAUGACAUAAUUCACAUAAUAUGUAUGUGCAUGCACAUGCAUGCAUGUAGUACCUGAUGCAUAAUAGAAUAAUCUUUCUAAUAGAUAUUGCAGUUUAUACUGUAUUUGCAUUUUUUAAACAUAAGAAUAUUGAAAACCCUCUUAUCACAUUUCAGGAAACGAUAUUUGGUCCACUAUGCCAACAAGGCUAUCCUGUACAUCCUGCUGUUAGUAAUUAAAAUAAAGCACAGCACAAUUUUACGAAAAGAAAGAUUAAAGUGCAUAAGUACACAUAGAUAGGUGCAGAUCCUGCUACAAGCUCCUUAGAAGCAGACAUAUUCUGUCCAUGGUCAGAGAGAGCUGGUUUAAACAGCAACAAUUCUAGUGCAAAUUACUGCUUCUGCUUGAAACACUUGUCCUUCCAAUAUAUACAUGGCCUAAUCUCAUAGACCUCCAUGUACAAUGUUCUUCAUAAUAUUGCGCAUAGUUUACAACACUGUGAGCCUGCAGAAUUUGGCCCACAUUAAUUAAGGUACCUUCAGAAGCAAAGAUUUUCUUGACUUCCAACUAAUAAAUAUAUUUAAAACAAAAUACAUCCAUUUUACAUGCAUCUAUUUUCAGAGCUAUGUUGAAGAUGGACCUCAAAAAGAUUUUUCAAAGAAACUAAAAGGACAGGGAAUCCACGUUGUAGGGCAAAGUGAUGUCAGUAUAAUGUGAUGAGCUGCUAAGCAGGUUUCUUGGAUGCGUUGCUUGCCAUUCUACAUGUGCAAUAAUGAUUACCUAGGUUUGUUUGUAAUAUAUUUUUCUUUGUAUAGCUGUGUACAUAGAGAGAGCUUGCAUGGGAUGAAGAUUCUUCAGAAAUGGCUAUUUCAUUGAGUUCAGGGCUCUGUCAGAUUAGCUGCAGCUCAUUUUGAUCUUUUGAUUUUGAGCCUAUUUA